rnacentral:rRNA from 1 species
AAUAGAUACCCUGGUAGUCCACGCCGUAAACGAUGAGUGCUAAGUGUUAGAGGGUUUCCGCCCUUUAGUGCUGCAGCUAACGCAUUAAGCACUCCGCCUGGGGAGUACGGUCGCAAGACUGAAACUCAAAGGAAUUGACGGGGGCCCGCACAAGCGGUGGAGCAUGUGGUUUAAUUCGAAGCAACGCGAAGAACCUUACCAGGUCUUGACAUCCUCUGACAACUCUAGAGAUAGAGCGUUCCCCUUCGGGGGACAGAGUGACAGGUGGUGCAUGGUUGUCGUCAGCUCGUGUCGUGAGAUGUUGGGUUAAGUCCCGCAACGAGCGCAACCCUUGAUCUUAAUUGCCAGCAUUUAGUUGGGCACUCUAAGGUGACUGCCGGUGACAAACCGGAGGAAGGUGGGGAUGACGUCAAAUCAUCAUGCCCCUUAUGACCUGGGCUACACACGUGCUACAAUGGAUGGUACAAAGGGCUGCAAGACCGCGAGGUCAAGCCAAUCCCAUAAAACCAUUCUCAGUUCGGAUUGU